AGGACGAACGCUGGCGGCGUGCUUAACACAUGCAAGUCGAGCGGAAAGGCCCUUCGGGGUACUCGAGCGGCGAACGGGUGAGUAACACGUGAGCAACCUGCCCCUGGCUCUGGGAUAGCCUCCGGAAACGGGGAUUAAUACCGGACAUUCACUUUCUUCCGCAUGGUCGGGAGUGGAAAGUUUUUCGGCCAGGGAGGGGCUCGCGGCCUAUCAGCUUGUUGGCGGGGUAACGGCCCACCAAGGCGACGACGGGUAGCCGGCCUGAGAGGGGCGACCGGGCCAACGACUGGGACUGGAGACACGGCCCAGACUCCUACGGGAGGCAGCAGUGGGGAAUAUGCGCAAUGGGCGAAAGCCUGACGCAGCGACGCCGCGUGGGGGAUGAAGGCCUUCGGGUUGUAAACCCCUUUCACCAGGAGCGAAUCCAGACGGUACCUGGGGAAGAAGCGCCGGCUAACUACGUGCCAGCAGCCGC
rnacentral:rRNA from 1 species